rnacentral:lncRNA from 1 species
UGUUUGACAUCAGGUCAGCACUUCGUACAUGCUGACUAUUGUUGUUGGUCCACUUGGACUUCAGGGAACAAGUCCUAAAAUUUUACAUAGCCCUUGUGUGUUCACAGAAGAAGGUAUUCAUAAAUCGGUUUAGAACUUGGAGGAGUAUUCAUCUAUCAGUUAAGUUUGGACUGGUAGUUUUCCUGGACAGAGCUAGAGUCAGGAGAGAAAACACCUUGAUAAGAUAGAACUACCACACAGCCCAUUUCACCCAGGUGCAUGUAUAGCUGCUCUUACUAACAUGUUUGUUCUCAGGUUGGACUUAGAUGAGGGAUGAAAGACCCGAGUUGAAUUCCCAGAAUUGAAGGGGCUUCCAUCCCACUAAAAGACAGUGGUUCUCAAAGCAUGGUCCUUAAGGAGUAUCAGCUAUGGUCUGCUUCUUCGACAUGUCAGUUCUCAAGCCUCACCCUAGCCCUAUUGAAUCAGAAACUCUGAAGGAGGGCCGUAAGCUCCAGGUGAUUCUGAUGCAGGGUAGAGUUAGAAUCACUGACCUAAGGCUGUCACAGCUAAAUCAUUUUGCCACUGCUUUGCUUGUAGCUCUUGGUUGAGUUCAGGCUCAGCUUUUACCCCUUUGCUCCAGAAAAGCUGCAGUUGCUGUGGCAUGGGGUUGAUCGCUGGCCCAGGAACUUCAUGCCAUGUGUUUGGCCAAAAUGAAUGAACACAUGAAUGAAUUAUAUUUUUUUAAGUUACACUGAGAAAAACUGGUGGAGUCAGAAUCUGAAUCCAGACAGUCUGACCCUCUGCACUCAGUGGACUCUAUCACAGUGACUUUCAACUUUCCUGAACUCCACAGCAGCUAGCAUCACACUGAGAGGGAAAGGGAACUGGGCAACAGAUCUCCAGCUAUCCCCCUCCUUUCUGAUUUCUGGAGACAUGGCCGUCCCCACAAUUCUCCCAUAUCUGUGACUGUUCCUCCCCUUCCUUUACUAACUUUCCUUUCACCUACUCAGUGAUGGGGAUCACACCUGUCACCACAUGUAGACUUCCCCAUGGGUCAGUCCUUAGUUUCCCCUUUUCCUGUAUCUAUGGAAAACCCCACACUUACAUACAGCUUCAACGUUUACCCUUUUUGGAUGAUGCCCAAAUCUGUAUUUGCCUUGAAAUGUUUUCUCAUCUCUAGUUCCAAAUUUCAAGCAGCCUGGGCUUUUCUGCAUGGGUAUCUUUCUGUCACUUUUACUUCGUCACCUGCAGCUGAAUUUACCAAUGUCCCUAUCUCCUCCAUCUCCAGCACCCACUUGCCUAAUUGUCCACAUAAGGCCAGCCUCCAUCUCUUCUUCAUGCUUUCAUUCAUAUUCCAGACCCUGUCUUUCUUCAUAUGGACAUCAGUGUCUUUUUCAACCUUGUGUUUUUCAUAUAACAAGGGUAUCUAUUUAGGUCUUAAAUGAGAAAAUUUAAGUUGAUGGCCAAGCCAGUUCAUUUAAUUAUGAAAACGGUGUAAUAUGGCAUGCAAGAUGAGGCAUGAUACGGCUUAGCUUUAGUUACAGAACAAAGGUAUGAAAUGCCAGACAGGAAUGGGUUUUUAAAAAGCAAGAAAAAAAAAAUAGGUAGUGUAAAAGCCAGAGCAUCUAAGAGGCAUCUUCAUGGAGACACCAGGGAAAACAUAAUUUUGAUUUUCAUUAAUGACCAAUUGCAUUGAACAAUGAAUUGGACAUUACAGCACUUAUAAACAAACCAUAAUUAUAAAGUGUUAUUCUAAUUGUUAAUUAGAUCUAUUUAUGCUCUAGAUUAGUUUUUUAAAUAUGUCCUCUAGAUGCCACUUGAUGCUAAUUAUCUUAGUUACGUUAUUAUCAAUUGAAAAACAUUUUUAAUUAAAUCUAAAGCCAUUUAAAUUAGCAUAAGAUUUAUAGAAAUUUAAAUGUGGUCUGAUGCUUCUUUUUUUUUCUAAGGCCACAUCAGAUGAUGCAUUUAACCUUUUGAAUUAGCUUUUGAUGAAACUCUCUACUGCAACCUAGCAGUUGAUAAUGAUGAGGAAAAGAGUGGGGCGUUCUUAGUAGUGUUUAUUGAUUAAAUGUAUGUGUGUAUCAUAUAUAUAUACAUAUAUAUAUAUAUAUUCCUAUAUGUAAUAUUUCCAAAUCACUGCUAUUGGAAUCAUGGAGAUACAGAGAUGAAUGUUACUCUUCCUGCUCUUUCAGGGAUCUGUCUGUUGAAUCAGGGAGAUGAAACACACAUGCAAAUAUCUGAGAGCCCAAGCAGAAAACAAGCUUCUUAGAAGGGUAGAAACAAAGGGGCUAUGGAAUUACAGAAUCAGAUGUACGGGGGUGGUAUCCCAGAGAGAAUUUAGAAAGCUUUCUAAAUGAAGAGGGUAUUCGAACUAGGUCUUGAGUAUGGAUUAGGAGGGAAACACAAACAGACACACACACACACACACACAGAUAAUGCAUUUUUUGGCAAAUGGAAUAGCAUAUGUUUAUCAGAUGAGACUUCCUUAAAUGCUGAGCAUCCAACUCAAAGCCAGAGAUGGGGAGGUUGAUUGCUUUCUGUGAUAGAAAAGUUUAGGGGUAGCCAGCUUCAGGUUAGAUUCAGGGGCUCAACUAAUGUGACAAAACUCAGUUUCUCUCUUUCCCUUACCAUCUCUUCACUCUGUUUUCCAAUCUUGUAUUUUGUCUUCACUUCUGCUGGUGAGCAGGAGGAGGGCUAGUCUUCCUAGAUAAAUCCAACCUCGUCCUUGUUUUUACCCUCACUGAAGUGACUUGGGCCAUGUGCUCCUCCUUGAAGGAGCUGUUGUGACCUGGAUGAUGGAAUCCACUGGAGAGCAAGGCCUGGCUCAUACGCCUACCACUAGAGCUAUUGGAAUGAAAUGCCUGAGUGUGAGAUAGAGACUAGUCAGUUCUCAAAAGGAAAACUGAGGUGGUAUCACCAGGAAAGGGACUGGGUGCUGGGCAUUAAAAAAAAAAAAAAGGCAGGGACUACUCAUUGUGGUGCAGCAGAAACAAAUCUGACUAAUGUCUAUGAGGAUGUGGGUUUGAUCCCUGGCCUUGUUCAGUGGGUUAAAGGUCCAGCAUUGCCAUGAGCUAUGGUGUAGGUUGCAAACGAGGCUCAGAUCCCAUGUUGCUGUGGCUGUGGCUUAGACCAGUGGCUGUAACCCCUAGCCUGGGAACCUCCAUAUGCUGUGGGUUUGGCCCUGAAAAGCAAAAAAAAAAAAAGCAAAUAACUCAUUCAUGGAAAAUCAUAGUUGUUGAACAUGCAACAGUAGAACCAGGGAAUCAUAAGGGUGUUAGUGGAAGACAAUCUGUGAGUUCUCUCCUCCUUGCCUGCUUAGCCCCAGAUACUCUGGCUUCCUUACAUCAUCACCAAGCAUAUUUUCACAGCCCAGCAUCUGUGCUUACUCUUGCCUAUGCAUGGAAUCCUUUUUUCCAGUCUACACUUAAAAGGUCUCUUUUGUUAUGGCUUACAAUAUCACUUCAUCAAAGAGGUCUUCUUUGACCACCUUAAAAAAAAUAGCGUGUUCCUGCUCUCCAUGUCUACAGCAGGAGCUGGCACAGUAUGGCCUGUGGGCCAAAUCAGGCCACCAGCAGUGCUUGCUUUGUAAGCAGUGUUGCCCUGGAACACAGCCUGACUCAUUUAUGUUGCUCAGGGUUGCAUUCACACUAUAACAGCAGCAUGGAGCAGUUGAUACAGAUCAUAUGGCCCACAAAGCCUAAAAUAAUUAUUUCACACUUUACAGGAAGAGUUUGUCCAUUCCUGGUCUGCAUCUUUACUCUGCUUUAAUCUUCCUUAGAGCAGUUAUCACAACAUGACACAGUAUGUAGUGUAUAAAUGUGUUAUGGUCAUCCUGUCCACCUCAUGAGAAUGCAAACUUCAUGACAACAGGAACUUCUGUGUUUCAGAGUCUAGAAUAAUGCCUGGCUCAUAGUGGGUGCUCAGUAAUAUUUGUUGCAUGCAAGGACUGGAAGGUUUCAACCCUGGAAUGUUUGAUAACCAAUCUGGAUAGUACAUAGUUGCAGGGAGUAAGACUUUGCAUAUAAGUUAAGUGAUGAUUAUAAUACCUUUGUGAGGUUUUAUAAGAGGCUAAAUGAAGAUGGAAAGAGAGAGGGGAAAGAUCAUCUGGAAAGAGAACUAAUGAGACUUGGCAACUAACUGAAUGUGCAGGAUCCAGAAGGAGGGACGUCAGGAUAUUUCUGGUGUUAUGAGCCUUGUCAGUCAGACAGUUGUGCAGGAAUGUGUUGGAGUGACAGCAGGUUUUUGAGCUUCAGAUACACUGGGUCUUGCUACUUGAGCACCUCUCUGAGGGGGAGGUCAAGAGUCUGGUGGGAAAUGCCAGCCAAAAAAAAAAACACCCACAAGAGAUGCCCUGCUGAGCCAAAGGGUCGGAGACCCAUUCACACAGAUUGAACAGAUGGACUCCAAAGAGGAAAUAGUUGAAGAGGGCAGCCUGGAGCAAGACCUCAGAGAAGCUCAUCAGAGAGAGCAUCACCCAAACAGGCCCCCGGCCACCAGGCCACUUCUUUCUCUGAUGGAGGCUCAGGGCUGGUUUACUGAGGCCAUGACUGUUUCCUUGAGGCACUCAGAAUUUGAGGGCCCCAUCCCAUGUCCUGUGCUUUUCCUAAUCUACCCUGCCUUUCACCAGGAAGAGGAACGCAAAGGCUUGAGGAUGUGGUAUAAUUGGGCUCCGAAAUACCUACCAGCCCCCCGAUGUUGGUUAUGUUCCUCACAUCAUUCAGGCCAUGUGCGAAAGUGCUAAAUAAACCACCUCUCCCCCUUUCCUUUCUCCUUUAGGUUAGGGUUAGGGUUAGGGUCUUCAUGUUUUUCUCUUCUUCCUCUUCCUUGCUGAAGUAUCCCACCAGUGAGUGGAAGGAAGCAUGAGAAAGGCUACAAGACUAUAGUAAAAAGUGGACCCUGGGUCCCUCUUCUGCAGUGGUAAAAACUGACUGAUUCAGAUAUGGAGCUUCAGAAGAGGAGAACCUAUCAACUUAAUAAUAACAUUUGGAUAAAAAAUCAGAGGAACCUGAAACUUGCCAGAGCCCUCCUUCUGCUCUGUGUUAUCCUUAGCAGAGAUCAUCUGGUGUGGAUUCAACUAUUUAAAAAGAACAGCUGCUUGUAGAGUUCUUGAGGCACCUCAUUCCAAAGUUGGUUUAUUAUUUACAGGAAUAAUGUAUUAGAUCAUAAAGAUGUGUUUCCCAUAAAUAAUGUAGCGAGAAAGCCACAUAUAAGGGAGUCUCAGAUGAACAGCCCCAACCUUAAUAAACCGGAGAUCCUUAAUGAGGAAAAGCACAACUUUAUAAUAGAGAAAUAAUAAUGGGGUUUCAUUUGAAAGGCUCCUGCGAGUACAG